UACAGAGGUCCCAAGCGUUGUUCGGAUUCACUGGGCGUAAAGGGUGCGUAGGUGGUGAGGUAAGUCGGAUGUGAAAGCUCCGAGCUCAACUCGGAAAUGGCAUUGGAAACUACCUUGCUAGAGGGUUUGAGGGGGGACUGGAAUACUUGGUGUAGCAGUGAAAUGGCGUAGAUAUCAAGUGGAACACCAGUGGCGAAGGCGAGUCCCUGGAAAACUCCUGACACUGAGGCACGAAAGCUA
rnacentral:rRNA from 1 species